AUGCCGAUGGUUGUCGUAGAGCAUGCCCUGGACGUGGAUGGAGUCGUCGCAGUAGCGGCAGAAGAGCGCCUGGCCUCCAGGCAGAAGACGACGUUCCCAGAGGAAGACGAAGCUCCUCGCGCUUCCCCCAUCGUGGCUAGCGUGCAUGAUGGCGGCAGGCGGCUCGCGAUUAGCUUCAUAAUAGGAUGGAUACGUCCGAGAUAA
rnacentral:rRNA from 1 species